GGGAGUCUUAGAACCCCGCGGAUGUGCGUGUUAAUAGCCGUGCCUUUGGCCGGGCAGGGUGGUUAGUGAAUC
rnacentral:ncRNA from 1 species